AGACGUGAGGGUGAUAUGGCUGGGCAGGCGUUGCCUUCCUCCCUCGCUGCUUUAUUGCUUCCCCCUAAAACUGAGUACGCAUUUGAGAGGACAGCCUUCCCCAGAAGAGGAAGACCAUCAUUUAGUCAGGGGUAUAUGGGUAGCAGCAGUCCCUGCUAGAACCUCCAGGCAGGCUUUCAAGAAGAACAAACCAAAAGAAAUUUGUAGUUACAACUUAAAGCUAGCUGCUUUGAUGGCU
rnacentral:snRNA from 1 species